GACGAACGCUGGCGGCGGGCUUAACACAUGCAAGUCGAACGGAAAGGCCCUGCUUUUGUGGGGUGCUCGAGUGGCGAACGGGUGAGUAACACGUGAGUAACCUGCCCUUGACUUUGGGAUAACUUCAGGAAACUGGGGCUAAUAUCGGAUAGGAGCUCCUGCUGCAUGGUGGGGGUUGGAAAGUUUCGGCGGUUGGGGAUGGACGCGCGGCUUAUCAGCUUGUUGGUGGGGUAGUGGCUUACCAAGGCUUUGACGGGUAGCCGGCCUGAGAGGGUGACCGGCCACAUUGGGACUGAGAUACGGCCCAGACGCCUACGGGAGGCAGCAGUGGGGAAUAUUGUACAAUGGGCGGAAGCCUGAUGCAGCAACGCCGCGUGCGGGAUGACGGCCUUCGGGUUGUAAACCGCUUUCGCCUGUGACGAAGCGUGAGUGACGGUAAUGGGUAAAGAAGCACCGGCUAACUACGUG
rnacentral:rRNA from 1 species